AUGGGGUUUAACCUGCUGGUGGCGUUCGCGGCGGCGAGGGGCUUCGUGCAGGUGUUCCACCUGUCGGCGCCGUCGCAGUCGCCGCUCAACCUCUGGCUGCCGCUCGCCCGCCACCUGCCCGAGGCCUGCGCUGCCCUCUGCGGCGUGCUCGCCGCCCAAGUCGCGUGGCUGCGCCGCGCCUAUGCGCGCGGUGGCACCGUCUGGAGCCGCCGCAGCCGCGACGACGUCGACGUCCUCCGCCAGGCGCUGCUCGACGUCUCCUACUGA
rnacentral:rRNA from 1 species